UCAGAGGGGAAUAACCCGGCGAAAGUCGGACUAAUACCGCAUAAAACAGGGGCACCGCAUGGUGAUAUUUGUUAAAGAAAUUCGCUGAUAGAUGGGCAUGCGUUCCAUUAGGUAGUUGGUGAGGUAACGGCUCACCAAGCCGACGAUGGAUAGGGGAACUGAGAGGUUGGUCCCCCCACACUGGUACUGAGACACGGACCAGACUCCUACGGGAGGCAGCAGUGAGGAAUAUUGGUCAAUGGGGCGGGAGCCUGAACCAGCCAAGUCGCGUAGAAGGAAGAAGGAUCUAGUGGUUACGUUAAACUUUCUUUUGCGAAGGGGAAUAAAGUGCAGGACGUGUCCUGUUUUGUAUGUACCCUGAGAAUAAGGAUCGGCUAACUCCGUGCCAGCCGCCGC
rnacentral:rRNA from 1 species